UACAUGGGGUGCAAACGUUGCUCGGAAUUAUUGGGCGUAAAGCGCACGUAGGCGGUUCGUUAAGUCGGAUGUGAAAGCCCUCGGCUCAACUGAGGAAGUGCACCCGAAACUGGCGAGCUUGAGUACGAAAGAGGAUCGCGGAAUUCCCGGUGUAGAGGUGAAAUUCGUAGAUAUCGGGAGGAACACCGGUGGCGAAGGCGGCGAUCUGGGUCGAUACUGACGCUGAGGUGCGAAAGCUAGGGGAGCGAACAGG
rnacentral:rRNA from 1 species